GUUGAUGGUAACCUUUUUGUAGUGCCGUUUUCUAGGGUCUUUCUAAGUGUUUUUUUUUCAAGUGAUGUUUUUCAUGUUUGCAUUGUUUGCUGUUAACUGCAUUCGCAAGAGCGAUAAUGAUGGGGAUAAGCAUCCAAGUCGAUAGCCGGCAGUGUGGUGAGUAGAAUGCAUGUAUGAUGUCGUCAGAUGCUAUCUUCAGUCAGCAUUCGUGAUAUUGUGUUAAGGAUUACUUAUGUUUGACACUAGCUUUUUUUUAAAAAAAAUGAAAGCUACUCCAAUGUUCUGCACCAACCAUCAAGGUGCCAACAGCCAAUGACUGAACCAUGGUACGGUGACGACAACUACGAUCUGGGAUCUUUCUGAAGACGAAAUAAGGUGACGAGGAUUUUUGGCUGAGCCUGCUCAGUCUCGAGUCUCGAUCAGAUGGUUUCGACGACCUGACCCGGUCUCUUGCAGCACGCUACCUUUCGUCAUGUUAUGUUUGUGUGUACUUCGUGUACGAGACCGCGUGACGCGUGCAAGUUCAUGCCCAGAUCCGCUGGUACCUGCUGGCGUGGCACUACUUCGAGUCUGCGACCCUGCAGGUGGCAGGAUGAAGCCAAGUGCAAAGUGACGAGGUUGGCUGAGCCCGGUAUCCUUGCUCGGGCGCCAUGAGCAUCAAGGCCUUAUUUAGAUGUAUAAAAUUUUUGGUAUAAAAUAUUAUAGCACUUUUAUUUGUAUUUGAUAAUUAUUAUCUGAUCAUGGGUUAACUAGUCUCAAAA